rnacentral:lncRNA from 1 species
CCCAAGGGAACACGAAUUACUGCUGAAUUACCAAUCAAGGUGAAGAAAGAGAAAAUGUCAGGUGGUGUGCAGGAUAGCUAUGAGAUACAAGCAACGCCAAUGAGAUGCGGACGGGAUUACACCAAGACUUACCAAGAAAGCUUGAUCUUCCCAGCUCCGAUGCUGGACCCCCUUCCUUCCGUUCUUGCCUUGAAUGCCGGCAUGGUGGCUUCAUCUCUAAAAGCCACUUACAAAUCGUGAUAGAAAGGCCAAGAGAAUCACAGACACAUUUACCCUAACACUGAAGUAUUGAGCCAAUGCCAGGAGCCACUUACUUCCAGAAUUUCAUUUUAUGAGAAAAACAAACCCAUAUUUUUUAAGUCAAUGUAGUUGGGGCUUUCUGUAGCCUGCAGCCACAUAAUAGACUGGGCUUAUUGUAAAUGUCCACAGGAGAUUAUGUUCUUUUCUAAAAGAUAGAAGGAUCUCUCAGUUCAAUAAGAAUUGAGACAAACUUUCACAAGGGAAGUCUGAGGAUGUAAUCAUGGAAUAGGAAGAAAUAUCUAAAAUAACUCCAAGUCAGAAAUUAGUUGACUGAAUCUGAGAGACAUGUAAAUCAUUCUGGGUAUGUGAGCAUAUAACCCUUUUGCCCUCCCUCGGAGAGACAUGAUAUAGCUUGUGUCAGAUUUCAGAUUGUG